CGAGAUUUGGAAAUCAAUGUCUUGCAACUUGAUGUGUCUCAG
rnacentral:misc_RNA from 1 species